AUGGAGAAGUAUCAACACAUGAGGAAGUUCAUUUCGGCGACUUUGGAAUAUACCAAACAUGCCGAUGAAACUACUGCAGCUGAGUUGGAGAGAAAUCUGGUGGUGAUAAGUACAUUGCCGGAUCUGAGCUUAUUCCAUCCUGGAUCCUGUAUCGUUGCAGAAUUUUAUGUUAGUCUAUAUAAACUGAUUAACUCCCUAGACUCUAGAACUACUUUAAUAUGGAGCGCGAUAUCUGCUGUGCAAAAUGCAUGCCGAAAUGAUGCGGCAAGACGAGCAUUGAUUUAUACUUAUAAUUUUGCUCCGAUUUUAGGUAGAUUAUUAAAGGCAAAUUUAAUCUCGGAGAAGAGAAUACGGGUAUUGAAACUGCUGCAGGAGUUGACAUACGGAAUAAAGAUUUCUUGGCAAGAAGCACAUUUGCCAGAUUUAAUAUCGACGCUUACCCAGUGGAUAACGCAAUCAAGCGAGGAAGAUGUCAUCGCCCUUUCAUUAGGGGUGUUGGUCAAUCUUUGUUACAAAAAUCUUCCCGCAGUAUAUACAUUGAUGCGUAAGAUUGAUAUGAAUGAAUUUGUAAAAUCAUUGCUGAAAAUGCAGAGUUGCAGUGUCAGUACGAGAGUGCAUUGUUGUAAAUUGCUGCUUAUUCUCGAAUACAAUAAUAGAGAAAUCUCGGAGAAGAAAAUGAUGGAUUUCAUUGCAGUUACGUUUCUUAGUUUAAAAGAAGCCUUGAAUAAUAAAGAUGCACUACUGUUACGACAUAUUGUAGAUUUCUUUGAAGAUGCCAGGCAGAAUCAUCAUGCAGCCCUUUUAAUGUACCCGAAUUACGCUACGGAGGUUGAGAAUGUACUAGAUACGGUUAACAGCCAGUCUGAUCAUAAGUGUGUUUCUCUAGUAAUGGAGUUCUUAUCGUUACUAGUAAAGCUUCAAAUUUCUGCUUUGCUUCCACUGUAUUCGGCCUGCAUCGAAACUGCAAUGAUCUGGAUUCCUAUAGAACAAGUAUGUUCGAAAGCAUUAGUUCUGAUACGAACGAUCGUGAUAGAUACCAGACGUACUAAAAGCAGUGCCGAAGUCUUCUCGAAGUUGGACCUGUCCACCCUGAUGCACUGUGUCAAUUUUGAGGGAGACGACGAAAUGCAAGGAAUGGGCGAGAAACGAAGUACCGAGACUCAUGCACGACUUACCGAACUUAUGCAACUUCUUCAAGAAAUGGUUAAGCUGCCAGAUCUUAAAAAUAAAGUAAUGCAGGCUUUCACCGAACAGACAAUGAGGGACUUGCUGAUUCCGAUACUAGAACGAGAAGAAAUUCGGGCUGAAGAAGACUGGCCUAGAAAUUUAUUUCAUGAUCCUUCGACUACCCUGUAUGUUCAUGCCCUGGCACUGACUGCAGAUCUCGCUCCUCACAAUUCCAACUGGCUCACUUUGUACUCAGAAUUAUUACAAUGUAAGCAAAUGCAAAUGGUAAUGGCAGUUGCUUUACUUAACGGUGACAUAGAAGUGAAACAAAAAAUUCUCCUUCUGCCACUGUCGGUAGGAUUUCCUCAAGAAUGCACAUCUGGAGUAGCACGUUGUAUGCGAGAAUUGGAAACUUUAAUGCUGAUGCCAGCAGAAUCAGGAAUUUUUGAUGGAAACAAAUCAAGGACUACUAGCAAUGUUGCCGAGAUGGUACCACUAUUCUCAUUGACUCAAGAAGGUCGACUAGACAAUUUCAUCGCUAGGCUAGGGGAGGUUUUCGAAAGAAAUCAAGCUAGUGACGUUACCAUCUCUAUGGUUAUGGAACUAUACGAAUAUAAGUUAGCAGUCAUGAAAGAUGCAGAGAGAGCGACGCAAGCCAGCUUGGAAGCUGCGAACAACCAUUCGACCAGUAUGCAACAUAGGUUGGCUCAGGUUCUUGCCGAAUCCAGCCGCUUGCAUCAGCUGCUAUUCUACACUCAACAAUGUCUUGAAGGCAUGCAAGCUGAAAAAAAAGCAUCGACAACAAGACUCCAGAAAGCCGAAGUAGAAAGUAAAAAAAUUCAUGCCACGCAGAUUCAGGAAAUCAAAAGUCUGAAGAAGAUAAUAACGGAGAAAAGCGAGACGAUAGAUGAAACGAUGAAAGAGCUGGAAGAGUGCAGAGUUACGAUAGCAUCUCUGGAAAAAGUAGUAGAAGAGUCUCGUAAAGAACGUUCCGUUGUAGAGACAAAACUCCAACAGUUAACUGCCAAAGAACAGGAUUUGUCACAAUUACUGCACAAAACGGAAGGUGCAUUAGCCAGAAAAAAUCAGGAGAUCGAAAGUCUCGAAAAGAAAAUUGCAUCCUUCAAUGAAAACGUUUCUGCCCUACGUCAAGAGAUCGAUCAAUUAACGAAGCAAGGCAACACGUACCAAAAAGUCAUAGCUGAAAAAGAAGAAUCCAUUAAGAAAUUGCAGAACGAAUUAACCGACCUCAAUCGUAUACGCAAUAUAAUCUUUGAACUUACCGCAAAACAAAAGGACGAAUCAAAUGCGAGUUGACGAAACGUCGUGAGAAUUGUUACAGUGUAAAGACAUGUAAAUGAUCUAAACGAAAUGGCGCUGCCAUCUUCAACUUACUUUCUGACAUGUUAUGGACAGAUUUUCACUUUAUCAGAUAUCUCUUCGUCGGGUCGAAAAGAUGACUUCAAGAAGACAGCUUUUUGUCAUCUUUACGGUAAAUGUGGUAUUUGGAGACUUACUUCAAGCUCUUCAAUUUGCGUUUUUUCGACGCGCUUGUUUGAUCAUUUUUCAAUUAAAAAUUAUAAGCAAACGAUGUGCUGUAGAAAAAAGUAGUACAGAACUUUUCAACUCCAUUUCCGCUAGGGAUGGCGUUGUUUAAACACUAAUGUUGCCUUCAUCCUGUCCAAAUGCGAGUUUAUCGAUUACUAGAGUGUUCUAAAUUGUCGUAAAAUUGUCCUGACCCUUUUGUUUCUCA
rnacentral:misc_RNA from 1 species